rnacentral:rRNA from 1 species
UACGUAGGGUGCGAGCGUUAAUCGGAAUCACUGGGCUUAAAGGGCGCGUAGGCGGGCUGUCAAGUCUGGGGUGAAAUGCCGCGGCUCAACCGUGGAACUGCCUUAGAUACUGACGGCCUCGAGGGAGGUAGGGGCGUGCGGAACUGUAGGUGGAGCGGUGAAAUGCGUUGAUAUCUACAGGAACUCCGGUGGCGAAAGCGGCGCGCUGGACCUCUUCUGACGCUGAGGCGCGAAAGCUAGGGGAGCAAACGGG